rnacentral:rRNA from 1 species
UACGGGGGGGGCAAGCGUUGUUCGGAAUUACUGGGCGUAAAGGGCGCGUAGGCGGCCUCUUAAGUCGAACGUGAAAUCCCCGGGCUCAACCCGGGAACUGCGUCCGAUACUGGGAGGCUUGAAUCCGGGAGAGGGAUGUGGAAUUCCAGGUGUAGCGGUGAAAUGCGUAGAUAUCUGGAGGAACACCGGUGGCGAAGGCGGCAUCCUGGACCGGUAUUGACGCUGAGGCGCGAAAGCGUGGGGAGCAAACAGG